AAAUUCUGGCAAUCGCUCCCGCACUAGAGGCGGGAGAGGAAAGUCCAUGCUCACACGGAUCUGAGAUGACCGUAGUGAUCGCGCCCAGCGAAACAAUAAGCUGGGGCAGCAUUUUUAUGCUGACGGCGGGUAGAACGCCUAAGUCUUCGGAUAUGGCCGAAAUACCCUGAAGGUGCCACAGUGACGGAGCUGUCUAGGAAACUAUGCAGGUGGAACGAGGUAAACCCCGCGAGUGAGAAACCCAAAUUAUGGUAGGGGCACUUUUCCAAGGGAAUUGAACCGACGGAAGAGGCGGAGUGAAUCUGCAGAUAGAUGAUUGCCAUCCGCCAGUACGAGGCUUCGGCUGUUUGAGUACGCGGAGACAAAACAUGGCUUAUAGAA
rnacentral:RNase_P_RNA from 1 species